CACGCGCUGCCACCUGGGGCCGCCUCCCCCCGCUAUUCCUUCUCCCGCCCCCAGCCUCACCCGCCUUCCUCACCUGGCCGCGCAGCCACCGAGCACCGGCUACGAUCAGGUGAAAGCCCUCCCGCUUUUCCAGCAGGCUACGGCAUUGGAACACAGGACCGGCCCAAGACAUGUUGCAGAGAUAACGGACAAGAUGACAUCCCUUUCAGCAAGAGCUGACUGGGUUGCCAGCCAGUGCUUUCUUCACAUUUAUCAAUGAGACAACAUCCUCCAUCAUGGCUGCAGCAGGUACCAUUCUGUACCCCUCAAAAACUAGAGGACAAGAGAGGCACUCUUCUCACACAAGGCAGUGGCCGCCAUCAAUGAUACCUGAUGAUGUCAUGAAGUCAAAUCAGAAUGAAGAUGAUGCUUCUUGCCCUCACUCCUGGAGACCUCUGGAUUUAAAAAAAAAUGUUUUAAAGGCACCUGCAAGCAGGGUUGCCACGUCAACAGAUUUCUUCCUUACAUGUUAGAUCCCUACUGGCUAUCAGCCUGGAUGUCUGGGAUGUUUUCACACCACAACAUAUCAGUAGCAAAACAAUGAGAAAAAACUGGGGCUUUCCCCAGCCAUUCUGAAACUUUCACAUUUCAGCAACCAUAGUUCUAUUUAGGUUCAGCUCUAGUUCUGAGUUUCCCAAAGCUCUUCAAUGUGUGUGUGUUUUAAAUCAGAAAAUUGAUACAGGAUAAAUGUAGAUAAAAUAGAUUUUGAGUUUAAAAUAUGUUGAUAUUUUGGGAGCCCUCUUUUUGUCUUUUACUUUGCACUGUGUCUGUGAAGUACUUGUCCAGAAUCGAAGGUGGUCUUUGGCUUGCAAGAACAUUCAACAGAUGGUGCAAAAGGUGGUGGUUUAAAUAAUAUCUCUUCCUUCUGUAGUGGGGAGUUUCAGCAGAACAAACACAUAUAUUUUGAGCCAAGGUAGCAUUCUACUAUUAAACCUGGCAUUUUAAGGCUGUCUUGAGUCACCUCCAGGCACUUGGAAUCAGGAGAGCCAGCUCCAGUAGCUUUUCGCAACCAUCAGCAUCUGCCUCACCUAGUGUACGAUGUAACAAGAGCAGACAGUCCUGACUUUCUGAAGGUCCUGGUGUAAUUGCUGUGUCACCAAGCAUCACCCUAUGCAGAAUUUCUCAGGAAGCUUACAUAAAUGAAAUUCACUACCUUUUAAAGAGGGCACAUCGUCAACAAAGGUUUCCACACAGGCACGGACAGAUCACGCCACCUAAGCCAUCAGGACAAUGCAUAAAAGUAUUCUGAUGGAAUGAGAAAUGACUAUUUGUUUCCAUUAUCUGUCAGAAUUAUUAUACCCCAGGAGUGGUUUAUGGCUUCAAAUGGCACUGCUGUUUGCAAGAACAUACAGUGCAUCCACAGACUGCCUCUGUUGCUUUAAACUCGCCUGCAACUGAAUGACACCUGUUAGAAGUGUUAUUAUGUGUUACACAGCACCUCUGUUUUCAUGCAACCUUUUUAUUUACAGGAAUUGCAAUUUUGUGAUAAAUAAUACCAUAAGAGAUCAGAAUUAAUAUUAUUGUUAUCUGUAUUGUGAUUUUCACCUUGCCUGGUCCCAAGGCACUCUGCCAGUUGCCUAGACAACAGAAGGAUAAUGUCAUUGAAGAACUGCCUGUAGAUCUGAAAAAUCUGUAAGAAUAUUCCAUUUAAUUUGCCCAUUGUGUAACACUCCUCAUGAAACACCCCUAUAAAAAUUAUCUAUGCAAAGAUUAAUAAAGU